GACCGAUUCUCACGAAAUUUUUUAUACAGAUCGUGUAGGACUGAGAAUAGGCCAACAUCGAUUUUUUAUACCCAAAUAAUAACGAGCUCACGAUUAAAACUGACUAACUGUGCUGGAUAUCUGAACUACCCUGUGUUUUAUACGAGUGAAAUUAGACACACGGCCUACUUGAUAAGAGAUGAAAUUCAACAAAAAUAAUUUAAAUCUUCCAAUCGAAACAGGCCGUGAAAAACCAUAUACAACGUUGAGACUUUCUAGAUUUCAGUAAGGUGAUGUACACUGUUGAGUUCACACGGCUUCGCUUGGGGAUUUCCGUAUACAAAAAUUUAAUUUUCCAGUUUUUUUUCGGAACAAACAGUUGAAAUUUUCUUUUAACUUCAGGACAAGCGUUCUGUCGCUGUCGCCGAGUGUGGUUCGGUGGAAGGCGCGCACAAGAAUUGUGCGUCUCGAGUUCAGUCGUUGUUACAACUCGAGUGCGACCGAACUCGCUGCGCUAAUUAUUGAUCAAGAAAAUAAUACACGUUAUACACCAAUCAGUUUUCCAACUUGAUUUAUUACAACAAUGCCACGAACACGCAGGGGGGCUAAUUUGAGUCGUCAAACAAACAGAUCUAGAGGCAUGCAAGAUAGAAGAGCAAUAAGAUCAGAUGCAGAAAGGCAACAAAGUAAUGCAGAUGUCCGUGUAAGAAUGGCACAGUUACGUGCAUCACGAGAUGAGCGAAACCAACAAAGACAAUUGGAACGAAGAGAAGCGCGCAGAUUCGUAGCCAACAGACGUAGAGGGAUUGACCAACAUCAACAAGUACUUCGAGCAUUUACAUCACAUUCAUUUCUUCGACUAGCAUUUCAGUAUGAGCCUGAUGUUGAAUAUUACGCUCAUUCCAAAGUGGUAAUUGGUACAUUGGACAAGGAAUGCGCGCACUGUCAAGCCCUUAAAUUUAAAAAUGAGCCAAUUGGGAUGUGUUGCUCAUCAGGAAAAGUGAAACUUCCAGAAAUUGAAACACCGCCGGAACCAUUGCACGGCCUCCUUAUUGGUACUGAUCCAAAUUCUUCGCUGUUCUUGCGUUCAAUUCGGCAAUUCAAUGAGCACAACGAAUUGUUGAAAUUAUUCAAAUCACAUAUGCAUAAGCUACAAAGUGACAAUCACGCUAUUUUCAUCAAUCCUGAUAGAACACCAGCUGGAGGGCAUAUACGUCGAUUCAACGCACCUGUUGUUGACGACGUGGCUGGAAUCAUGGUUGGCGACCAUACAGCUACGCGACAAAUCGUGAUUCGAAGAAGAAAUAAUUCUCUUCAGUCCAUUCCUGAUACCCAUCGUUUAUAUGAUGCUCUCCAAUAUCCACUCAUUUUUUUACCACUCACUCGUUAAGCAACGAGAUCCGGUAACAGGAACCGAAACAAACAAGAAUAUUAGCUCAAAGGAUUUCUAUUCGUUUCGGUUGAUGAUUAGACGUGGUCAGGAUAAUAUCAUUCUACGAUGUCGUGAGCUUUGCCAACAAUUUAUGGUCGAUAUGUACGUCAAGAUAGAGAGUGAACGACUACGAUACCCUCGAUUUAACCAACAGAAGCUGCGUGCGGAAGAAUACAUUCACUUGCGAGAUGCUAUUGCCAGCAACGCUGAUACUGCCGAAAUCGGUAACUCUGUCAUCCUACCAUCAUCGUACAUAGGUAGUCCACGUCAUAUGCAAGAAUACAUACAGGAUGCUAUGACCUUCGUACGUGAAUAUGGACGACCUUGCUUUUUUAUUACUUUUACAUGUAAUCCAAAAUGGCAGGAAAUUACAUCGUUAUUACCUGGACAAAGUGCAAUACAUCGUCAUGACAGUGCAUGAUAACAUGCGCGUUCAAACGCUUCAGGAUCCAUCCGCCGAAACUUUUUCGAAACAGCUAUUAGAUAUUGGCAAUGGGAAAGUUGCCGUACAUGAAAAUACUGGAUCAAUAAAAUUACCAACCGGUUUUUGCACAAUCGUCCACUCGCAAGAUGUUCUCAUCGACUGUAUAUUUCCCGAUGUACACACACAAUAUAUAAAUCUUGAGUGGCUGACAGAAAGAGCCAUUUUAGCAGCGAAAAAUGUGGACGUUCAUGGAUUAAAUUUCAAGAUACAACAAUUGUUGCCAACAGACUCUGUGUCAUACAAAUCUGUUGAUACAGUUUGCAAUACUAUCGAAGCUGUAAAUUACCAAGUAGAAUUUUUGAAUUCCUUGGAUUUGCCAGGCAUGCCACCGCACCACUUACAAUUGAAAGUAGGAUCUCCGGUGAUUUUGCUCCGUAACUUGAACCCACCACGGCUGUGCAAAGGCACACGAUUGGUUAUUAAAAAAUUAAUGAAGAACGUGAUUGAGGCCACCAUUUUAAAUGGCAAGUUUCAAGCUAAAAGGUAACACGAAAUUCUUUGACUGUUAGGCGUUACGAAGUUCGCCGGGUUUGCUAGUAGAUUUAUAUAAAUUAUUGUAUAUAUGGGUGUACCUGCUGCCUGCCUGGACUCACGCAACGCGUCAGUUCAGCAAUCUGCCAAUCCCAGCGGGAGGCGGCAUCACUUGCCAGUUGCCCAAUUGCAUAUGAAAUUCGCUUUCACUGAGUACUGAGGAGGCUGAGAUUUUGUUUUUUUUUUUGUUUGAUUUUCAAUUCAUUUUCAACUGGAGAUAAAACCCGAUGCUAUGCUCCUGCUGCCGAUCUGGAAAUUAGUUUUCACACAGUCUAGAGUUCACACAUUUAUAACAUUUUAAUUAACUGAGAAAAUGCAGGAGCGGAUUCUGAGGUUAAUUAAAGAUUGCUGGAAAAUAUAUGUAUUUUUGAAACUUCUCUUUACAUUUUACAUACUUCCGUAAUGUCUUUGAUUAAAUCCAUCAAUUUCUAUGGCCCCAUGAGUUGUCGGA